rnacentral:lncRNA from 1 species
GAAUAGUUUCUUUGUCUUGACGGAAAGUAAAAAGAACAAACUUGUUUUAUAUAAAAUCAGAUGCUCCAAAUGGUCAGUUGAUGAUUAUACCAAUCAAAGAAAACUAAGGAGGAAGAAAAAGAAAACAGGAAAGAGAGGAGGCAACAGGAAAAUCGGCCUUCUUCCUUCAGUCUACCUUGAAAUUGCCAGGGAUGGAUAAAUCUGAAGAUGAAUGAAAAAAAGAAACUACUGGGAAUGGAACAGAAACAAAAAAAAAGGAUGGGAAAUCUGAAGCUGCUAUUUCUUAUUCUGAUCUUAAUAGCAGGAUACAGUUGAAUAAUAACAUUAUCUAUUGGAGAUCACUGAAAUGUAGGGAGGGAAUUCCAUUUUGAAAACUUUAAUAUGUAGAGAGUCAGUACAUCAUUUUUACAAGCAAUAUCCUUAGCAGAAAGGAUUUUUUUUAGAACUAUCAUGCUACAGAAAACUGCAUUUUUAUAGUAACUGAAAGAUGCAAAGUUACUGAAAAAAUAAAACUGCCAUUUUAUUGUAUUGCCAUUAAUCACAUGGUUUGAAUUUUGAUUACUUGUAGAGACUGAGACUAUUAAAUGGUGGAAUAUUUCUAUGGACAACAUUCAGAUAGUAUUCUCAAUGCUUCACUACUCCCUUAACCCAUUUUGGUGUACUUUAGAAAUGUAAUACUGUCGUUGUUGGGGUUUUUUUAAAACACGAGAAAGCAAUAAAGAAACACAUUGAGAUAGAAUCCCC